GUGCUGCCAGCCUUUGAGCCCAACACAGGCUCCCAGCCCUUCCUCAAGAUCUACCAGUCUAUGCAGCUGGUCUACAUAUCUGGAGUCUACUGCAUCGAAGGUCCAGGGCCCCAGGCAGCUUUGCAUCAGCCUGGAGCCGGCCCUUCUCCUCAAAGGCGACUUCAUGGUAACCUGCUACCACAAGGGUAGUCAGGACAGACAGGACCCUCGUGUUCCGAGUUCAGUUCCACACAUGCACCAUCCAUGGGCCAUGGCUCAACUUCCCCAAGGACCAGCUAGAUAAGGCCUGGGCUGAUGAGCAGUUCCCUUUCCAAGCCUCAGUGGAGUUUGUCUUCUCCUCCAGCCCUAAGAAGGUCAAAGACAACACCCCAUGGAAUGAUCCCUCUGUCUCAGUGGAUUACAACAUGACAGAGCCUGCUGUACAC
rnacentral:lncRNA from 1 species